GUGUAUCAGACUGGGGCCUUUUUUUAGCACCAUCUGGCAGAAGCCACCUCUCCUGCACCUGCUCCAUGUACAAACCAUUGCUCAUUUGCCAGUCAGCAGUGUGAAAGAAGUGUGGUGAGUAUAAGUUAGGUUUACUGCUAUCUCAGAGAGGUGUUCUCUGAACUCCAUCCUGAGAAUGACAACCUGUACCCACUGCUCAUUGUUUGUAGGACUGCAAGAGACCCGAGUAAAGGAACAAAGACGCUGAAAUGAACACAGCAGGCCAGCUGGCAGGAAGUCAGACUGCGGUCCUUGCCUCAGAGGAUGACACAGGCCAAAGGAGAGAAGCAAAACAAGGCAGCCUGAGCAAGCUUUUCCGUUCCUUGUCUUGGAGCCACCGCCAUCUUGGACUCCUUUUCCCUGUUCUACCUACCUAACACAAUGAAGACCCAG